UGAAUAUUGUAACUUUAAGGUGCCUUUACGGCUUAAAAGGGAAGUCCGAGCCCAAAAGUUUUGGGUAACGGCGCGGUCCCGCCACUGUAAGUAGGGAGUUACCCUAAUAUAUCCACUGGUUUUUACCGGGAAGGAUAGGGUAACGAUGAACUACAGCCAGGAGACCUGCCUUAAAGUUUGGUUCGAA
rnacentral:ncRNA from 2 species